CCCGAGUAUUAUGCUCAUAAACCGAGUCUUCACUCAAUAACUUUUUGAACGUGUUGGGACGGUGCACACUAAGUGAAGCCUGAAUCAUUGUAGAAUGAGAGAAAAACGCUUCAAUAAGAUGACGCCGUCUAACAAAAACACAGACAAGAACACAUACCUUCUUGAGCCUCUCCUCCACUCUUUCUUUUUUUUUUUAUCUGGUCGAGUUCAGCCUAAGAGCUUCAGUGUCAUCCUCAUUGUGGGAACCGAAAUUCGCACUGUCGAUUUUCGUUUAAAUAAGGAAACUAGGAAAACCCUAAUUUCUCAGAGGUCCCGGAUCUAUGCGAGAGCCAACGACAAG
rnacentral:lncRNA from 1 species